CCAGACUCCUACGGGAGGCAGCAGUGAGGAAUAUUGGUCAAUGGGCGAGAGCCUGAACCAGCCAAGUCGCGUGAAGGAUGACGGCCCUACGGGUUGUAAACUUCUUUUGUCAGGGAGCAAUUGGGUCCACGCGUGGGCUUAGCGAGAGUACCUGAAGAAAAAGCAUCGGCUAACUCCGUGCCAGCAGCCGCGGUAAUACGGAGGAUGCGAGCGUUAUCCGGAUUUAUUGGGUUUAAAGGGUGCGUAGGUUGUUUUAUAAGUUAGCGGUGAAAUACCGAUGCUCAACAUCGGGGCUGCCGCUAAUACUGUAGGACUAGAGAUCGGAUGCAGCAGGCGGAAUGUGUAGUGUAGCGGUGAAAUGCAUAGAUAUUACACAGAACACCGAUUGCGAAGGCAGCUUGCUAGGCCGGAUCUGACACUGAUGCACGAAAGCGUGGGGAUCGAACAGGAUUAGAUACCCCAGUA
rnacentral:rRNA from 1 species